AAGGCUGUGCUUUCAGGGGUUAUUUCUCAAGUGAGUGAGUGGAGAAGGGCGGUUAUGAAAGCCUAGCCUUUUUAACCACAGUGGAAAGCUGUAGUGGUGGGGGUUUUUUCUGAGCAUGAUUGUGGCAGGGAGUGCUGUGCUAUGGCAGUUGCUUUCUGCUGUGGAAGAGUGUCUUCUUUUUUCUGAGAAGAGCAAGGGAAGGGAGCAUAGUCUGAGUGGU
rfam:Pelodiscus sinensis unplaced genomic scaffold scaffold78, whole genome shotgun sequence.